CAAUAGCGUAUAUUAAAGUUGUUGCAGUUAAAAAGCUCGUAGUUGGAUUUGUGGCGUACGGUGUGUUCCGGGCACUUGUUGUCUGAGUAACCUGCUGUUGCCAUCCUUGGGUGGAACCUGUGUGGCAUUAGGUUGUCGUGCAGGGGAUGCCCAUCAUUUACUGUGAAAAAAUUAGAGUGUUCAAAGCAGGCUUAUGCCGUUGAAUAUAUUAGCAUGGAAUAAUGAGAUAGGACUUUUUUGCUAUUUUGUUGGUUUGCUCAAAGAGGUAAUGAUUAAUAGGGACAGUUGGGGGUAUUCGUAUUCCAUUGUCAGAGGUGAAAUUCUUGGAUUUUUGGAAGACGAACUACUGCGAAAGCAUUUACCAAGGAUGUUUUCAUUAA
rnacentral:rRNA from 1 species